rnacentral:rRNA from 1 species
CUACGGAGGGUGCAAGCGGUUAUCCGGAUUCACUGGGUUUAAAGGGAGCGCAGGCGGAUUGGUAAGUCAGUGGUGAAAGGCGUUAAGCUUAACUUGGGAACUGCCAUUGAUACUAUCAGUCUUGAAUGUUGUUGAGGUUUGCGGAAUGGGUCAUGUAGCGGUGAAAUGCAUAGAUAUGACCCGGAACACCUAUUGCGAAGGCAGCAGGCUAAACAAAUAUUGACGCUGAGGCUCGAAAGCGUGGGGAUCAAACAGG